CGUCAAGCCUGGGCUUUAUUCAUCGAUGCUUUACUCUUCGUCUUUGACCUUGCCUGACUUGCGUUGAUGUUGACUUACUAAAAUUUAACCAUAACAAUUUGCCCCUAAUUGCUUAAUAUGGGCAGCGAUGUACAAAUUCAACAAUUAAAACUACGGAAAUGAAAAACAAACAGAGAAAUUCAAAAAUCAAAAUUGAUUCAAAAUCAACUUAUUUAAGGGUAGAUCAUCUUUCCGCUUGUUGUACUAACUCGAGAAGUUACUCCAACUUCCCACUUCUCCAUUUAACCGUCACUUAGCUUCUUGCCUUUAUUACUGCUACAUUUUUCCCGCUUCCCCGGAAUUACUACACUCCUUCUCUCUCUUUGGCAAAAGUUCUCGGGUGAUUCUAAGGCGGUGAGCGGCGACGAUUUUCGAUUUUGAACUCUCGUCAGCUCAAAUCGAUAGGUAAUUACUUCAAUUCUUUGUUUUCUUAGUUAAAUUCGGCAAAUGUCAAAUAGAAUUCCUAAAACUAGGUUUAGGUUUUUGCUUUGAGUUGUUGAGAAAAGGGGAACAAUUGUUUUAGAAAUGAAAGUGGUAUUAAAUGCGGAGUCAUUGAUGAUGACUGCUUUGAAGGAUGACUUCGUUAAAAUGGCAGGGUUCCCUGAGAGUGUGUUUGCUGGAAAGGGUCCGAAGGUGGAGAACUAACUAAAAGGGUUUAUAGUGUUUUUCAGAUACCCAUUUAUGGAGACAUGGGCUGAAUUUUCCUUCAAGCCUCUGACUAGGUCUUUAAUUUCUUCGAGGUAUUGGGGUUAAGCCCUGGCAGUUGAUGCUGUCGGGUUGGAUAAUUUUAUCAGUUUUGGAAGGAAUUACCAUGAACUAGGAGGAUUCUUUUACUUUGGAAGAUCUAGUUGAGGCUUAUGGCAUAAAGAUGAGAACGCAUCGUUUUGUGAGUUUACACAAGAAGGGAGAACCGCUGGUUUUGAACACUGAUUGUAAUGAUAGGGGUUGGGCCAAUUAUUUUAUUUUUGUCAAGAAGUCUUCAAUAGGUAAUGACAGAAUGUGGCUGACGAAAGGAUGGCCGGAGAAGGAGCUUGAUUAUGAUUAUCUUAAGCUAACAAAAGGAUCGUUGACGAAGGUGUAACGGGCUUUGGAAGCUGGGUAUGCGAAAAGAACUUUGGAAGGACGAGGCACCCUCUUAGUGAAUCGUUGGGACAAAAACACAAGGAUUCACCGAACUUUUCCCUAUAAGCCGAAGAUUUCGAGGAAAUGAUGUCUACUUAAUUUGCAGCGCAAGGCGGUCGUCGAGGAUGAAACUGAAGGAGUUGUGUCUUCGAUAAGUGCAAUUACUAGAUAUAUCAAGGAUCACUAUUAUGGAGAUAAUAAGUUCAUUCUCUUUG